UACCAGCACCCCGAGUGGUCGGGACGUUUAUUGGGCCUAAAGCAUCCGUAGCCGGUCCUACAAGUCUUCCGUUAAAUCCACCUGCUUAACAGAUGGGCUGCGGAAGAUACUAUGGAGCUAGGAGGCGGGAGAGGCAAGCGGUACUCGAUGGGUAGGGGUAAAAUCCGUUGAUCCAUUGAAGACCACCAGUGGCGAAGGCGGCUUGCCAGAACGCGCUCGACGGUGAGGGAUGAAAGCUGGGGGAGCAAACCGG
rnacentral:rRNA from 1 species